rnacentral:rRNA from 1 species
UCAGGCCUAACACAUGCAAGUCGAACGAGAUUAUAGGGUAAGCUUGCUUACCUUAUAUGACAGUGGCGCACGGGUGCGUAACGCGUAUGCAACCUACCUUUAUCAGGGGGAUAGCCUCUCGAAAGAGAGAUUAAUACCGCAUAAAAACACAGUACGGCAUCGUACAAUGUUCAAACAUUUAUGGGAUAAAGAUGGGCAUGCGUGACAUUAGCUAGUUGGUGAGGUAACGGCUCACCAAGGCAACGAUGUCUAGGGGAUCUGAGAGGAUGACCCCCCACACUGGUACUGAGACACGGACCAGACUCCUACGGGAGGCAGCAGUAAGGAAUAUUGGUCAAUGGACGCAAGUCUGAACAGGCCAUGCCGCGUGCAGGAAGACGGCCCUACGGGUUUAAGGUGCUUUUAUACGGGAAUAAACCUUCUUUCGGAAAGAAG